AAAAUUGGUUACAUGCUAUCAGUUAAUCAGUCGAUUUUGAUCCGGAGCCCCAAAUCAAUCCAGCACCCGAUUCAAUCAAUGGCCACCUCGGAGAUCACCCGAUUAUGUUGCAAAAGCAUGCACAGGAUCAAACCAAACUAGAUUGAAAUCUUCAUCGUCAUCAUGUCGCGAACCAUAUUGAAAAGAGAAAAACUUCCACGGGCUCAAUAGGUACCCAGAAUCUGCAACUAUUUGGAGCGAGGUCAUUGCUGAUUGUUAAACGAGGAGAGCCUACAUAUCAGGAUUUACUGCGAGUUCUUUGGAUUGAUGGCCGAUAUUUUUCCCAGAAAAUUAAGAAUUGAUUAUCUCAGAGCAUGGCCAAUAGGCCUGUCCAGAAAAAAUCGGACCGACUGAACCCGAUCAAACCGCGUGUGUUUUUGGUGAACCGGGCGGUUUGGUUCGCGGGUGGAUCGGGUGCAAAAAAUCGGAUUAAGGUGGUUUGGUCUGGUGUAUUUUUGUUUGAGCCCUAGACCGACCAAACCUGGUUGGAGAAAAAGAAACAGCCCAGCCCAAUACUAACCCUAGUCUCCUUAGUCCAACCCACUAUAAAUAUCCUCUUUUAACCCUUACCCUCUCAACUACCAAACCCUAGCCGUCUCUCUCAACCUUUCAUCACUCUCAACCUCUACUCUCUCUCUACCUCUCAUCACUGUCAACCUCUACUCUCUCUCAACCUAUCAUCACUCUCAACCUCUACUCUCUCUCAACCUCCCAUCACUCUGAACAUCUCCAACCCUAAACCUAGCCGCCACACUCUCCCAACCUUCCUGAACGCCGCCGUUUACCGUAACACCUCCUCCUCUCCUUCUCUUCGAUCUAGUGCCACCACCACGACCCAGCGACGCACAACCUUUUCCUUCUGAGGUCUAGAUCCGCCAACACCUUCGUGCACUGUCAGACCACCUUUGUGCCAUCAACUACCGUCGCACCAUCGUCUUAGAUCUCCUCUAUUGAAGAUGAAGAUAUUCGAGAUCUGGGUUCUUCCAUCGGUUUUUAUUUUUUGUUGUUGUUGUAAAAACAUCUCUUAAAUGAUGAAUAAGACAAGAUCUGUUAAAUUUUGUUUUCCAAUCUUCAUCUCCUUUUUUGGAUUCUUCUGGAUUUUAAACCCGAACGAAACCUCUCGCUAAAACCGUAAACUGCCGGAACCGAACCUGAUCUACCCAUGGCAACUGGGCGGUUGGCAGCGGACUUGGCGGUUGGGUUAUUUUCACCUGUUCGAAACCGAGAUUUUGGCCCGAAAUCAACCGUACCCGCCCAUUAGACAACCUUAAUGGAUAAGGUCGUGAUCUUCUCAGAGCAAUC